UGAAAUUGCGCAUGCUCCGUGCGAGUCCACGUGGGGGCGGGAGAACAAAGCUGCUGCCUCCGUGUAAACCGGGGCUCCGAGCUGAGCAGGUGCUGCUCCCCCGGGUGCGUGCGGGGGGAGCCCGGCAUUAACUCCUCCAUGCCCGGCCGCGGGGGCUUUCUCUAGCUGGGACCCGUCCCCUGGGCAGCCCCGGGCCGGAGACCCCCGGCUGCAGAAUGAUGUCCAUGUUUCACUCCAGUUCAUCCCAGCCUCCCAUGGGACAGGGGAGAGAAAUGGCUGCAGAGGGGUCAGUCCAGGGGCCGGUAACCUUCGAGGAGGUGGCUGUGUAUUUCACCAGGGAAGAAUGGGCUCUGCUGG